UGGGCUGUGGCUCUGCGGUAGAGCGCUCGCCUAGCAUGUGCGAGGCCCUGGGAUGAAUCCUCAGCACCACAU
rnacentral:tRNA from 1 species